rnacentral:rRNA from 1 species
GUGCAGAAUGUGAACUGCAGGACACAUGAACACCGACAAGUUGAACGCAUAUUGCACAUCGUACAACAGUGCGAUGUACACAUUUUUGAGUGCCCAUAUUCACCGAACCAACUAUACACGCCCACGCACGAUGCGUACUGGAGAUUUGAUUGACCCCGUGUUAGCCAAGCAUUGAAGACCUGUGUGCGUGGUGGGUGCCGACCGGCGAGUUUGCUUUCCCUCGUGUCUCUUCUAGCACCAUGGUAUCACAUCUGGAGCGAGCAACCCAGUCACAGGCCCCUGGCGGGCCGCGGGAUGAUCGCGGACGUCCUCCCUCAAAGCCACUGGCGGCGUCAUUGUGACACCAAAUGACACCACCCAACGAGCAACAGGGACGGAUCGCGGAGAAGCAGCGAUCGGCAAUCAGUAAGAGAGAUAGUAGGCCUCAAAUAAUGUGUGACUACCCCCUAAAUUUAAGCAUAUCGACAC